UCUACUCUCUCCCACGUCUGCCAAACGGCUCUUAACUCCCUCUCUCCACUUGCUCUCUCACACGUUGGUGGAUCUCUCUCAAUGUGUUGUAGUUGAGAGAGAGAUGAGAUGGGUGUUGUGUUCACGCACACUCUCUCUCUCUCUUUCUCUGUCUAGGAUUCUCUCUCUCGAUCCCUAAUGCCGCCGUCGCACCACCGUUGCCAGAACCACCGCCUCCUUCACAACCACAUCAACGACGCCCCUCUUCUGCAGCAGCGCCGUAGUCCGCAUCUGCCGCUCUCCGAAAAAUACUCGGCUGGGAUUCAAUGCUGAGCUUGGCCUCUCUGAAAUUCAUCCAUAUCCCUACAUUCAUAACAGUCCUUCACCGUUUUCUCUCUCUAACGUCUCUCUCAUGGCGUCGACUCUCCGCCAACAUUCCCUUCUCCAUCCCCUCGCUCCGAUCCAAACCCCCACAAAUUCGCCUUCCAAAACCCUAAAAUCUCCUCCCGAUUGAGACGAUAUCUUUGCACUCCUACUCUCUCUCAUCAAGCCCUCACUCUCUCUCUAGGGUUUCCGAUUCUGCACUCUGUCCGUGUUCACCGCUCGAUGGUCCCGUUGUUUCGGUGCCGAACAGACAAUCUUCUGCAGGCUCUUCGCUACGCUGCUCAAUUCGGCUCCCUUCGCUACCGACGGUGCUCUCGCAAGAGCGGAGUUCACCAUGCCCUUAACCCAGAUCCAUACAGUGGAGUCUUUGGUUCAAACAGGGAGAAGUAUGCAAGAGAUGUUGAAGAUCUCAUUACCUUUGGAACUUUAGGGCAUGUAGCUGGUUUUAUUUCUGAAGCCAUACAGGGAGUGGGUGGAAUUAUUGAAUUGGCCCCAGGUUACUUCCCUGCUGUGUACAGCAGUAUUAAGAAAGCAUGAGGGCUUUGUAUUGCCGAUGAGGUUCAAUCUGGGUUUGCUCACACUGGGAGCCAUUUUUGGGAUUUGAGACCCAAGGCAUUGUGCCUGACAUAGUGACAAUGGCAAAGGCGAACAAGCUUCAUGAAGUGUGUUGAAGAUUUCAGAGCUAGGGUUUAUCUGCAACUUAACAAGAUUUUUCAAUGCUCAGUGGCUUCGAUUUCUCAACCUCAAACCUCUAGUGGUCUUCUUUUACUGGUAUUGAUUUCUCUAUCCAUUGAUUGCUUUAUGACCACACACCCUCAUCAAACUCUUAAUCACCACUGUCACUAUCUCUCUUCUCUCUCUUGAUGUGUAUUUUGCUAUAGCAUUGCAUGAUGUCAAUAUUUUCACUUUGACUCUAUUCUUGAUGCAUGUCACAAUAUUUUCACUCUGUAUAGUAAUUUUGAAAUUCAUGUUCUGUUUUAGCUUUAAUAUGUGUUUCAGCUUUAAUAUGUGCAUUGGUUCCUCCUACUUACAGUGAAAACUUCUACUCUAUUUAUAGACCAAAUUUUCUCUUAUGAGGUAGAAAAAGUUAUUUUAGUAGAAUUGAGACAAGUUUUGUUUUGGUAUUACUCUGAGGCUUCUAUUGGAAAAGCUUGAAAAUCAAAGCAUUCAAUGUAUAUUGUGUCAUGGCAGGCUGCAACUUGCCUACAUCUUUGCUUGUGGAUGUACAAAUAAUUUUCCAUCACUACCGCCAUAGAUUUUAGUUAUAAAAAUGCAGUUCCUAUUAAAUAAUGUUGU